CCUACGGGAGGCAGCAGUAGGGAAUCUUCGGCAAUGGGGGCAACCCUGACCGAGCAACGCCGCGUGAGUGAAGAAGGUUUUCGGAUCGUAAAACUCUGUUGUUAGAGAAGAACGUUAAGUAGAGUGGAAAAUUACUUAAGUGACGGUAUCUAACCAGAAAGGGACGGCUAACUACGUGCCAGCAGCCGCGGUAAU
rnacentral:rRNA from 1 species